UACGAGGGGGGCAAGCGUUGUUCGGAAUUAUUGGGCGUAAAGGGCGCGUAGGCGGUUUGACAAGUCUGAUGUGAAAUCUAUGGGCUCAACCCAUAGCCUGCAUUAGAAACUGUCGGGCUUGAGUAUGGGAGAGGUGAGUGGAAUUUCCGGUGUAGCGGUGAAAUGCGUAGAUAUCGGAAGGAACACCUGUGGCGAAAGCGGCUCACUGGAUCGAUACUGACGCUGAGGUGCGAAGGUCAGGGGAGCAAACGGG
rnacentral:rRNA from 1 species